rnacentral:rRNA from 1 species
AUUGAACGCUGGCGGCAGGCCUAACACAUGCAAGUCGAGCGGAUGAAGGGAGCUUGCUCCUGGAUUCAGCGGCGGACGGGUGAGUAAUGCCUAGGAAUCUGCCUGUCAGUGGGGGAUAAGGUCAGAAAACGGGGGCAAAUACGCCAAAAGCCCUGAGGGAGAAAGUGGGGAAUCUUCGGACCUCCGGCCAUCGGAUGAGCCUAGGUCGGAUUAGCUAGUUGGUGGGUUAAAGGCCUACCAAGGCGACGAUCCGUAACUGGUCUGAGAGGAUGAUCAGUCACACUGGAACUGAGACACGGUCCAGACUCCUACGGGAGGCAGCAGUGGGGAAUAUUGGACAAUGGGCGAAAGCCUGAUCCAGCCAUGCCGCGUGUGUGAAGAAGGUCUUCGGAUUGUAAAGCACUUUAAGUUGGGAGGAAGGGCAGUAAGUUAAUACCUUGCUGUUUUGACGUUACCCACAGAAUAAGCACCGGCUAACUUCGUG